rnacentral:piRNA from 1 species
GGAAACAGCUCUGCCGCGAGAAAGACUU